GACGGAGGAUGCAAGCGUUAUCCGGAAUGAUUGGGCGUAAAGCGUCCGCAGGUGGUAGUUCAAGUCUGCUGUCAAAGACCGGGGCUUAACUUCGGAAAGGCAGUGGAAACUGAACAGCUAGAGUAUGGUAGGGGCAGAGGGAAUUCCUGGUGUAGCGGUGAAAUGGGUAGAUAUCAGGAAGAACAUCGGUGGCGAAGGCGCUCUGCUGGACCAUAACUGACACUCAGGGACGAAAGCUAGGGGAGCGAAUGGG
rnacentral:rRNA from 1 species